UCGCUUCUCGGCCUUUUGGCUAAGAUCACGUGUAG
rnacentral:snRNA from 1 species